GCCCAUGAUUCUUUCUCUCUUCACACUCUGCCGGACCACAGCCCCUACGCAGGCGCUCCCGGCAUUUGGCGCCUAGACAGGGACCUGAAAGGAAGGCUUCCCCCGGCAGAGUGGCCCUGGACAAGGUGGGCUAUUUGGCCAACAGCCCUAGAAAAGGAGCUCCGGUGGUCAAGAGAAGACACUAACAAAAACAUGCAGAAGAACCAGUCUGGGUUCCUGAGAGGAACAUCCGUACCUGUCAGCAUACUGACCAGAGGGAUAGAGACCCUGAACAUCAAAGGAAAAACUGGUUGGAGAGACAAGCGGAGGAGGAAGGCGAGACCAAGAAGACGAAGAGCCAAUAAUAAGAUGCUGACUGUCCUUUUUGCAAUGAUGACUGUCGCAGGUGGCUCCGGGAUGGAGACAUGAUUACAUUGGACUUAUAUGCCUUACCCCACCUUGGGUUAAACCUGUAACCUGACCACUAUACUUUUGUUUGUGUAACUCCCUAUUUGCUUUCUAACCAAUGUAACUCCUGAUCAAAUACUGAAUGAGCUUCAGGGCACUUGGCAUUCCAAAAAUAUAACAUGGAUGGUAUUGAUCCUCAAGAUAUUGUUUAUAAGCUAUUGUACUAUAUCAAGCAACUUAACACUUUCCAGAAUAUUUCAAGUUUGCUGUUGCAUUUCAUACCCUGAUAGUAGUAUUGUUACUCUUGAGUUUUCUCCUGAUGUGCAUCCCAGCUUUGUAGAGGGCCAGCUUUGGGGAGUUGGAGGGCUUAGGCCAGCCCAGGUCUUACCUGUAGCUUGUACUAAGCCUGACAGCUGUGAAACUCAGGAUGCCUGGUACUGUAAUUUUAACACUGGUUUGAACUAUAGGCAAAAUAUUCUUCCUAAUGGAAGACUUCAGUUUUGGGAAAUGAAAGGAUUUUAUUACACUAUUAUUUAGAUGAUAUCACUUUUAUCCAUGAAAAUAAAGCCUUCAAAGCCUCAAACCUCUGAAGCUCAAAACUGAUUAGCUGAUGAGUAUUUUGGUUACUUGCCAGCUAGAGACUGAAGAAAACACCUAAGACUAUCCAAUUCCUUGUGAACUAACACUACAGCUACCAAUCAGUCUUCUUCUGGGACUCUCCAAAAUGAGAAUAAUAACACCUAUGCUACCUAACUCAUAGAGGUGCUGGGAGAAAAUUGCAAUUUAAUUUAGCACAUGCUAUAUAAACAUGAGAAUGAGCUGGGAAAGGCACAUGGUGUGAUGAUACAGAGUGCUGCUCUUGAAAACAGGAACAGCUGCUUUCAAAUCUUGCCUCUGACACUAGCUGUGUGAAGAGCAUCUCCAAGUGUUACUUAAACUCUCUGUCCUCAGUCAACUCCAUAAACAGACUAGAUCUGUGAAAGGAAUUGAUAGAUCUGUGGAUGAAACUGAAGGGAUCAAUGAUGCUUAACACACUAACAUAUGCCAUUAUUUCUGCCAUUACUACUGACCCACCCUCAUGCACAUAUGCUUUACCUCAGAGAAAUGUUAGGGGAUGACUGUUCACAAAUGAGAUUAAAUUACAAAAUCAUUCAC